CCCUUAGAUGUUCUGGGCUGCACGCGCGCUACACUGACGCACGCAACAGGUGCCUGCUCCGAGAGGACUGGGUAAUCAUUUGAGUGUGCGUCGUGAUGGGGAUAGAAUAUUGUAAUUAUUACUCUUCAACGAGGAAUUCCUAGUAAGCGCCAGUCAGCAGCUUGCGCUGAUUACGUCCCUGCCCUUUGUACACACCGCCCGUCGCUCCUGCCGAUGGGUGAUCCGGUGAAUGAUUCGGACUUCAGCGGCUCCCCUGGGGUGCGCCGGAGAAAGUUUUGUGAACCUUAUCACUUGGAGGAAGGAGAAGUCGUAACA
rnacentral:rRNA from 1 species